rnacentral:rRNA from 1 species
CACCAGUGGCGAAGGCGGCUUUUUGGACUGCAACUGACGCUGAGGCUCGAAAGCCAGGGGAGCGAACGGGAUUGGAUACCCCGGUAGUCCUGGCCGUAAACGAUGAAUGCUAGGUGUGGGGGGUAUCGACCCCCUCCGUGCCGGAGUUAACGCAAUAAGCAUUCCGCCUGGGGAGUACGGUCGCAAGACU